GGGACGAACGCUGGCGGCGUGCUUAACACAUGCAAGUCGAGCGGUAAGGCCUUUCGGGGUACACGAGCGGCGAACGGGUGAGUAACACGUGGGUGAUCUGCCCUGCACUUCGGGAUAAGCCUGGGAAACUGGGUCUAAUACCGGAUAUGACCUCCUAUCGCAUGGUGGGUGGUGGAAAGAUUUAUCGGUGCAGGAUGGGCCCGCGGCCUAUCAGCUUGUUGGUGGGGUAAUGGCCUACCAAGGCGACGACGGGUAGCCGACCUGAGAGGGUGACCGGCCACACUGGGACUGAGACACGGCCCAGACUCCUACGGGAGGCAGCAGUGGGAAUAUUGCACAAUGGGCGAAAGCCUGAUGCAGCGACGCCGCGUGAGGGAUGACGGCCUUGGGUUGUAAACCUCUUUCAGCAGGACGAAGCGCAAGUGACGGUACUGACAGAAGAAGACACCGGACUAACGUACGUCGUCAGCGAGCCGGC
rnacentral:rRNA from 1 species